AGGGAGCAAGCGUUAUCCGGAUUUAUUGGGUGUAAAGGGUGCGUAGGCGGUUUAAUAGGUCUGUGGUCUAAGUCCGAAGCUUAACUUCGGUUCGCCAUAGAAACCGUUAAACUUGAGUAUGGUAGAGGCAAGUGGAAUUUCUAGUGUAGCGGUAAAAUGCGUAGAUAUUAGAAGGAACACCAGUGGCGAAGGCGACUUGCUGGGCCAUUACUGACGCUGAGGCACGAAAGCGUGGGGAGCAAAU
rnacentral:rRNA from 1 species